AUACGUAGGGGGCGAGCGUUGUCCGGAAUUAUUGGGCGUAAAGGGUUCGCAGGCGGUUACAUAAGUCAGAUGUGAAAGCCAUAGGCUUAACCUAUGUAAGCAUUUGAAACUGAGUAACUUGAGUUAAGGAGAGGAAAGUGGAAUUCCUAGUGUAGCGGUGAAAUGCGUAGAUAUUAGGAGGAAUACCAGUGGCGAAGGCGACUUUCUGGACUUAAACUGACGCUGAGGAACGAAAGCGUGGGGAGCAAACAGGAUUAGAUACCCUGGUAGUCCACGCCGUAAACGAUGAGUGCUAGGUGUUGGGGGGAAACCUUCGGUGCCGCAGCUAACGCAUUAAGCACUCCGCCUGGGGAGUACGUAUGCAAGUAUGAA
rnacentral:rRNA from 1 species